UACGUAGGUGCAAGCGUUGUCCGGAAUUAUUGGGCGUAAAGAGCUCGUAGGCCGGUCUGUCGCGUCGGCUGUGAAAACCCGGGGCUCAACCCCGGGCCUGCAGUCGAUACGGGCAGACUAGAGUGCGGUAGGGGAGACUGGAAUUCCUGGUGUAGCGGUGAAAUGCGCAGAUAUCAGGAGGAACACCGGUGGCGAAGGCGGGUCUCUGGGCCGUAACUGACGCUGAGGAGCGAAAGCGUGGGGAGCGAACAGG
rnacentral:rRNA from 1 species